rnacentral:rRNA from 1 species
GAGAAUCUGGCCUCAGGUUCGGGACAACCACUGGAAACGGUGGCUAAUACCGGAUGUGCCUAUGGGUAAAAGAUUAAUUGCCUGAGGAUGAGCUCGCGUCUGAUUAGCUAGUUGGUGGGGUAAGAGCCUACCAAGGCGUCGAUCAGUAACUGGUCUGAGAGGAUGAUCAGUCACACUGGGACUGAGACACGGCCCAGACUCCUACGGGAGGCAGCAGUGGGGAAUUUUCCGCAAUGGGCGAAAGCCUGACGGAGCAAUACCGCGUGAGGGAGGAAGGCUCUUGGGUCGUAAACCUCUUUUCUCAGGGAAGAACACAAUGACGGUACCUGAGGAAUCAGCAUCGGCUAACUCCGUGCCAGCAGCCGCGGUAAUACGGAGGAUGCAAGCGUUAUCCGGAAUGAUUGGGCGUAAAGCGUCCGCAGGUGGCCAUUCAAGUCUGCUGUCAAAGACUGGGGCUUAACCCUGGAAAGGCAGUGGAAACUGAACAGCUAGAGUUGGGUAGGGGCAGAGGGAAUUCCUGGUGUAGCGGUGAAAUGCGUAGAGAUCAGGAAGAACACCGGUGGCGAAAGCGCUCUGCUGGGCCGCAACUGACACUCAUGGACGAAAGCUAGGGGAGCGAAUGGGAUUAGAUACCCCAGUAGUCCUAGCCGUAAACGAUGGAUACUAGGCGUUGCUCGUAUCGACCCGAGCAGUGUCGUAGCUAACGCGUUAAGUAUCCCGCCUGGGGAGUACGCGCGCAAGCGUGAAACUCAAAGGAAUUGACGGGGGCCCGCACAAGCGGUGGAGUAUGUGGUCUUAAUUCGAUGCAACGCGAAGAACCUUACCAGGGCUU